AAAGGAUACUUCUUCGGACAAUAUACAAGGUGCUGCAUGGUUGUCGUCAGCUCGUGCCGUGAGGUGUCGGGUUAAGUCCCAUAACGAGCGCCAACCCCUAUCAUUAGUUGCCAUCAGGUCAAGCUGGGGACUCUAAUGAAACUGCCUACGCAAGUAGUGAGGAAGGUGGGGAUGACGUCAAAUCAGCACGGCCCUUACGUCCAGGGCUACACACGUGCUACAAUGACCGGUACAAAGGGCAGCUACCUGGUGACAGGAUGCAAAUCUCCAAAGUCGGUCUCAGUUCGGAUCGGAGUCUGCAACCCGACUCCGUGAAGUUGGAUUCGCUAGUAAUCGCGCAUCAGCCAUGGCGCGGUGAAUACGUUCCCGGGCCUU
rnacentral:rRNA from 1 species